rnacentral:rRNA from 1 species
AGAGUUUGAUUCCUGGCUCAGGAUGAACGCUAGCGACAGGCUUAACACAUGCAAGUCGAGGGGCAGCGGUGGUGAAGGCUUGCCUUCACCAGCCGGCGACCGGCGCACGGGGUGAGUAACACGUAUGCAACCUGCCUGCCACAGCCGGAUAAUCGGGAGAAAUCCCGUCUAAUACGGCAUAAUGCAUCGACGGGACAUCCUGUUGGUGCCAAAGGUUAAUUCCGGUGGCGGAUGGGCAUGCGUCGCAUUAGUUAGUUGGCGGUGUAACGGACCACCAAGACGACGAUGCGUAGGGGUUCUGAGAGGAAGGUCCCCCACACUGGUACUGAGACACGGACCAGACUCCUACGGGAGGCAGCAGUGAGGAAUAUUGGUCAAUGGGCGGGAGCCUGAACCAGCCAAGUCGCGUGAGGGAUGACGGCUCUAUGGGUUGUAAACCUCUUUUGCCGGGGAGCAAAGUGCCGCACGUGUGCGGUUUGGAGAGUACCCGGAGAAAAAGCAUCGGCUAACUCCGUGCCAGCAGCCGCGGUAAUACGGAGGAUGCGAGCGUUAUCCGGAUUUAUUGGGUUUAAAGGGUGCGUAGGCGGACGCUUAAGUCAGCGGUAAAAUUGCGGGGCUCAACCUCGUCGAGCCGUUGAAACUGGGUGCCUUGAGUGGGCGAGAAGUACGCGGAAUGCGUGGUGUAGCGGUGAAAUGCAUAGAUAUCACGCAGAACUCCGAUUGCGAAGGCAGCGUACCGGCGCCCAACUGACGCUGAAGCACGAAGGCGUGGGUAUCGAACAGGAUUAGAUACCCUGGUAGUCCACGCAGUAAACG